rnacentral:rRNA from 1 species
CAGUCGCCGCGGUAAUACGUAGGUGGCAAGCGUUGUCCGGAUUUAUUGGGCGUAAAGCGAGCGCAGGCGGUCAAUUAAGUCUGAUGUGAAAGCCCCCGGCUCAACCGGGGAGGGUCAUUGGAAACUGGGAAACUUGAGUGCAGAAGAGGAGAGUGGAAUUCCACGUGUAGCGGUGAAAUGCGUAGAGAUGUGGAGGAACACCAGUGGCGAAGGCGACUCUCGGGUCUGUAACUGACGCUGAGGAGCGAAAGCGUGGGGAGCGAACAGGAUUAGAUACCCCCGUAGUCCCUGUCUCUUAUAC